rnacentral:lncRNA from 1 species
UUUUUUCAACUUUGAGAAUUCGGCUGGGGGAUGUUUUUGUGCUGAAUUUAGUCACUUAACACUAAAGGUACUUAGUUUUGUUUUCUUUUUAGAGUUUUUCUCUUAGUUUACUUUGUUUUCAGUGAGUUUCGGGUUUCACGUUUUAGUUUUGGUGCUGAAUUUUGCCAAGGUAUGGAAGUUCUUCUCGGGUUUUGAUCACUUUUCUGUUCUUUUCUAUUUUUAUUUCUCUCUUUUUCCCUCUUUACCGAAGCCUCCCUUUUCUAUCUUUUUAUUUUCUCUUUUUCUACUUACCGAACCUUUCUUCUCAUCUCUUUUUCUUUUUAGCCAAAUAAUCUCUUUGUUUCAUCAGUUUGUCUCUGUUAAGUUUUCUCCUUUCUUACCUUCUAGC